CCAGCAAGCCCUUUCGAAUGCUCAAGAAGUUCUAGUUCAACCCCGCUUAUAGAUUAUGAGGCUAUGCUAUAAUCUGCAUCGAUGUCCCUUGGCCGCUCACCAAUAUUCCUCUUAUCCCUAUCGGUAGGUCCCCAGUUAUCAUAGAAAUCCUAAACAACCCCCCAAUUUACCAACUUCCAAUACCUCUUUAAACUGUUAGCAGAUAUCCUCUAUCCGUACAGUCAGAUUAACACAACCACACAUGCAUUCAACAUACUCAACCUUCUAGACAACUCUGAAUUUCAACCACAGAAGUAUCUCCCAUUUCAUCAACAAUCAAGAGUACCAAUCUUUCCUCUCUUACAAAAAAAAAUCCAGUUCACCAAUAUAACACUCACUUUCAGCAAUAGUGGCCUCAGUCUUUCCAAAACCCUAUGAAGAAAAAAAAAUCCCAAUUCUCUAUCUUUUUCGAAGCAUGAAGCUAGCUCUCGGAUCCUUAAAACCCUGAUUCUCUCAUUUCCAUUUCUUAACCUAUCCUCCCUUUUAACCUUGAGAAGAUCCUAUUCUUCUGCCUUGGACUCUCCGAAUUGGAACAGCCGAUGGAGCUUUCUUCCUCAUUUUUGCCUUUAAGAGAUCUUUUUACCGAAAAGAUGUUCCCGGAAUGGUACAAAGAACAGAACAACCUGAAACGAAAUCGAAGCCCGUAAUCAGACCACAUUGGGUUGCCCGACCAAGUCAGGUCUCAUAUUGGAUAAGAGGCCCAUAAUAGGACCUGGAUUAGAGGUCUUUUGAAAUUGGAUUUAAUUGGCUCUUCGAACCAGGCUCACCCGUCGUUGAAUUGGUCCUCACCCUUUCUGUUGAUUCCCAUUAUUGAAAUCGAACGGAGCAUUUCGUUACUGGUGAGUAUGCCUCGACUGACUAUAACGAGGUGGCUGAACCUGACAUCUCAGUAUUUGUACUGGAAUUGGCCAUCGCUUCUAACACCCAAGGUGACUAAAUAUUAAUAAAUCUUCUUCAUUUAUAUUUUCAUCAUAUAGACGUGUUACAACAUGACAGCGCUACUUGCUCUCCUGCGAUUGCUUCAUCCAGGUCCUGAAUUAGAUUCUUGUCUUUUUGUUGGCCUCUGGUAAGUACUACGUUCACCACCUCGACAUGAUGUACUAGUGAGUCUCGUUGAACAAGACCUUUAUCCUCCACCAAUUGGCUUAUUUGCAUUUGUUGAUCCAAGUUAUUAUAAUUAAAAGGUGCAUUGCACCGCUGAUAAGUGUGACCAGACUGCUUAUAAUUUCUACAUUUUGAAGUAUAGUCAUCACUGGCCCUUGGAUUAGGACAUUCACUCGUAUAAUAUCCAAUUUGUCUACAACGAUAGCAACGAAGUGGUCUCCUGCCAGCUCCUUCAGGGAUAUUGGGUGUCUCUACUGGAAUAUAACGGCUAGGUCUAUUCCAUGUUGGAUGAAUAAAGGAUCCUAAUUGACUUAUUAUUACUAUAGAUUCUAGCAUUGGCUUCGUCAUGGGUGGAUAUUGAUGGUAUCUUGGUUGGUUCAUCGCCAAUCCGUGAGUAUUGGAUACACCUUCUUGGUGAAAUUUAGAGUUUCAGAAAUUGGAAUAAUUCUUGUUUUGUUUAUUUGCUCGAUUUCCAUUUCAGCCAAACUUAUUAUUCGUUUGUACUUGAUUGACAUCCCAUGAAGUUGGUUGAGUCAUUAUUUGUUACUGAGUUGUUGUUGCUUCCAUAAAUUCUAACAGUUGGUGGUAAUAUAUUUACCCUCACAAAAGGUACAUUGUACAGUCAUUUGGGGUGGUGAACGACAUUCUGUUAUUAAAUGAACUUGCCCCUUAUAACUGCUGCACCAGACAUUGGAACGCAUAUUGGUUGGUUUAUGCCUUUUUUCUUUAUCCUUGGCCAGAUUCACAGCCAAUUCAUCCAUUUUUUUUGUCAAUGUUAAUAGCAAUGACUCAUUGGGAUCCCUUGAUAUCAAUACAUUUGACAAUUCCUUCAUAGGUAUUGAUUUUUGAUAUGUAGAAUAAGGUACAUACGGGUGUGAUGAUGAUGGUAGUACAGCCUACAAUGGAAUGACAUCCGCUAUUCCUUAUGGAACUGUACCAUAAUCAUUCUUUUCCAGAUAACUUUCCGAUGCAUCAUUCCAAUUUGUCAUUUGAUAACCUCCUUGAGAUGGAAUCAUUGUGGCUCCAACUAUUAAGUUCUGGUCAUAGUGACAUUCUUUCCAUACUUUUGUUCGCUCAAGAGAUGAUGCAAUGGUGGUUGAUUGGGCCUCCUUUACAAACAUCUUCAAUUCUAGUGGAUGUAGUCCAUUAACCAAUAUGGACAACACAAACAAUUCCAGUAUUUGGUUAUUUGGCCAUUUUUGAAGUAUAUCUGCUACACGACCAUAAUAUGAUUGUACUGCUUUCCUUGAUACUAUUUUGCUGUUAAUUAAUUUUUCUCUAAGACGUUCUUCAAAACCAAUUAGUCAAAAAUGGAUUAAAAAUAUAUUUUUUAAUGCCUCCCAAUUGAUAAAUUGUUCCACAUGUUGGCAGUUAUACCACUCAAACGCUAUGUCUUUCAAUGUCGCUGGUAGCCAUCUUAAUCAAAUAUCUUCUAUUCUUCCAUUAUUGGCUACACAUGUCGACAAGAAUUGAGACAAAUGUUGAUUUGGAUCCACACUUGGUAAACUCCAAAAAAAUAGGUAAUAGUGUGAUGCUAGUUGUUCGAUCACCAACUGCAUCCAUUUGAAUUGCAAUCAAAAUUACUAGUCCUCUGGACGCCAUUAAAGAUGUCGAUGUUCUGCUCAAUUCCUUAUUAAAAUAAAAACUAUUCUCGCAAAAGUCUUUUUCAGACUUCCAGGCAUUCUCGAUUGACUAUUAUUAUCCUCAAAUAAUUUUACUAGUUGAAUAGGAGGUGAAAAUGACAAGUUUUGAUAUACUCUGAAUUGGUCUUUAUUAGCAAGUGAUUUAUGCCAAUCUUCAGAACCAGUCUUGUUAGAAUCAAACAUAUCUCCAAUUAGAAAAAUACCCAAUGGGAUAUCUAAUUCCUCUAUGCCUUCUUCGCUUUCCGUUAACGACUUUGAGAGGUAUGCUGGACUAUUAGCAGCGCUCCACGUGAGUGCUCUUGGUAAUUUCUUUAAUGGUAUGUACUUCUGAAAUAUUAGAGGCUGAUUGUCUUCUGGGUACGAUUGAAUAUACUGACAGGCAUGCAACCACGGCUUAAUCCAACUUUGUCAAUGUUUCUUUUUCAAUUUAUGAUCUCACUCAUUAUGCAACAAAUUUCUUACUUGCGAUCUCUUUGUUCUUUCCUUUGAUUGCUUUAUUCUCUUUGUUGUUAAAUUCUCAUUCUUAAUACCCAUAUUCUUUCAUUAUUUCUAUUGAGUUUGCUUUCGAAUCUCCUUUACUACUUCGGCAAUUAAUUCCUAAUACUCAAUAAUGUUCUCAAUCUUCGGCAGUGGCACCAAAAUUUAAUUGUCGUUUUAUUUAUUUUGGAAGAAACCUCCCAGAAUAAACUUGUAUAGGGGAAUUCGAACAAAAGAAAAGACCAUGUAUAUGAGCUCGAAUUUUUAGGGUCACACAAUUAACCGCUACUACUGAAUGUUUACCAUACCGAAGAACACUUAAUUUUUCUUCCUACUGUCUAUUGUCUCAUAUCAAUACGAUAACAACCACGACAUCGAUUUCAGUAUCCUAUAUAAUUCACAAAUAUAUAAGCAUAAUCCAAACCCUGGAACAAACAACUUCCUAUCCACAGAAUCCGAUCGAGACAAUUCUUUUGAUUAUAAUUCCUCUCCACUGAACUUAAAACCUUGCGAUAAACAGUGACUGGAAACUUCCAUACAUCAUCAAUCUUUGACAACAAUAGAUAAAUAGUGAUCCAUAAAUAACUUCGUAAAUCAAACAUUGAUUCACUAAAUCAAUUUUCUUCACUAGAAUCAACACUAACACAAAAGAAACAAGAAAAUUAAGAAGAAGAGAUAGCACCAAGCUUAUCCCCGACUCAUGACUAUCACAGUUUGGCAUUUUCUUCCUUUCCCAUCCUCUUUAUAUUACUCCAAGAUACCAACUCAUAUACUAUGGAUGAUAACUACUUUUUCUGACUAUUCAUCCAUUUUACCUACUAAACCACCUUUUCAGCAGUUAUCUAUCCAUGUUUACACUAUACACUAGAUAUCUACAUUUUAAAAAUAACUACUUAUUCUAUAGCUUGGAAUGCCACUUCAAGUCUUUCCACUAGUAGAAACAGGUGUGGCAUAAAUGACACAAGGUAAUCCUUCUUUUGUAGCAUGCAAGAAAGCACUUGUACCUACAAAUAUAGAUUUAAAAAUAUAGAUUUAAUUAUACUAGAUUUAUGACUUUCUACUUGAUUAACUAUACUCUUAGUUAUACUUUCAGAAAAGUCAAGACUAUGAGAAGUCCAAUCUAUUUUAGGAUUAUAUUUUUCUAGCCAUGAUAAAUCUAAAAUGAUUGGAUUAGAAUGAGAUCUAAUAAUAUUAAAUAUUAUAAAGUUAAUAUGACUAUUAGUUGCUAUUUCUAUAGGAAGAGUUUCAUGAGUAACAUACCCUAAAGACAACGGACGACCAUCUCUGACUUCUACAUGAACAGGUUUAGUUUUCUUUACUAAAAAUAUAUUGUGUCUUUUAGCAAAUUUUUCAUCUAAAAAACAUGUUAAGGAUCGUGAAUCUAACAAGGCAGAGGCUUUGAGAUAUUUAGGUCCUAGAAUAACAUUUAUUGUAAAACAUGGAGAAGAUUUUGAGGAGAAGAUAGGACCUUCACUAGGCGUUGUACAAGGUUCCAGCCGCACGGUCCCUAUUGUAGUUGGAUAAAUUCGUUUUCUGACAUGCUAUCUUCUUUGAUUGUUGUAUGCCUCAUUUUAUAAUUGCGUCGCUUCUUUGGUCAAUAUUUAGUAGUGUGCUUAGGUUCUCCACAAUAUAAGCACAAUCCUUCUUGAUAAUGAUGAGUCUUUUCUUACUCAGCAAGAGGUUUGAAACGUACUGCAUCAAUUUAUAUAUCCUCUAAUUCUGAAUGUGUGUUGAAAAGAUGUUGGUGUUGCUAUUGAAUUAUAGUUACGUUGAGGUCCACUUGUACGGUUCUCAUAUUGGAAUUCAAUAAGGCGAUUGUUGCACUUCACAGCAAAGUUAAUUGCUUGACUCAAUGUUUGAUGAUCAACUAAGUUGAGCAUUAAUUUUUUUACUUCAUAUUGUAAUCCGUAGAGAAAUUGGCUAAUAAGUGCAGCAUCAUUCUACUUGAUAUCUGUUGCAAGUUGUCAAAAUUAAGAAACAUAUAAUAUUAUUGAUCGAUUAUCUUGUCGUAAAAUAUGGAUCUUAUUGAUUGCAACACAAAUUGUAUCAUGUUCUCUAUACAUGGAUCGAAAUUCCACCAAAAAAACUCUAGAUUAUCCAAUAUUGGAUCUCGUCAUUCAAGUAAAGAUGAAAACCAUGAUAAUACUGAACUUGAAAGAAGCAUACCAAUGAAUCUAACUUGUGAUCUUGAAGUUGGAUAGCUCUGGGAUUGAAGUUCAAUCAGAAGUUGUACUUGUUUGAUAAAUCCUCGAAAUUUUGAUCUGGUGCCAUCAAACUUGUCGAGUAAGAUAAUUCUUGAUUCUCUAACAUUGGAAGAACAUUCCACCAUAGGAAAAAGAACAUGAUUUGGUACAAAUGUUGGAGCAGCUCCAAUCAUUUCUAUAUCUUCACUUCCUACCAAUCUUGUUACUCCCUGUGGCGGUAAAUUGAGUCGAUGCAUCACAAGCAUUAACUCCCUCAAUUGUUCUUGCAUUUGUAUCAUUGCAUUCUUCAUUUCAGCAAGUUCUGCCAUGAUAAUACUUAGAAAAGAGAAGAUGUCUAAUAUUGCUCAAGACAAAUAGAAGAGAGGACUUGAGAACAAAGAAAAUACUAAAGACAAUAUCAGUUUAGAAGAGGGUAAUCUGCAACUUCUAAUAUGCUUGUGUCUUAUCAAGAAAAAGAAAUAAUCCACUCUUAAUCAAGAUUAGACAAAGCUCUGAUAUUGUAAGUGUAGUCUUGUCAAUCUAUCAAGGACAAGAACAUCAUAAAGAUAAAUAAACAAGUGAGACUUCUCUCAAAAAAAAGAUGAAAAAAUAUAAAUAAUUUAAUAUAUAUAUUAAGAAAGAAACUGGAAUGGCUAUUGCCAAAAGAAAAGAAAACUAGAGACCCUUGAAACUAGACUAGAAGCAAGAAAGGAGUUGAAAAGAGUGAAGACGGCUUCACUCUUGUUUCUAUAUAUACUAUCUAACUAGGGGCUAUGUGGCGACGUUCUAUAGGACCUUCAAUAUGUGUUGACUUUGUAGGACACAUGCCUUGACUUACAAGGCAAGUUUUUCUAUAUGUGGGCCACAUAGUUAGCUUGGUCUUCAACCUAACAACAUGUGUGGCACAUGGCCAACUUGUUGACCACGUUUUUAAUCCAAAAAGUCAAUUAAAGAUACUUAUAAAGUCAAAGUAGCGUCUAUAAAGCUUGUAGGAAGCUUCCAUACCAAAUAUUAUAGAAUUAACUUACUUUUACUUACUUUUACUUACUUCUACCUAUUUAUACAUGUAAUUAUUGGAUUACAUGUGUAUGUCUGUGAUACCUCCAACAUUAAAACUUAAAUUGGUGCUAUCAUCUUUGGAAGGCGUAAAAAGAGUAUUACAAUCUAAGAAUUUAGUAACAUAGUAUGAAUCUUGAGAAUCAGCCUUGAAACUGAUUUCAACUUAAUCGCCACAAGUAACGUCUCUGUUUUUUCUCUCCUCACUCGACUCCUCUUAGCAAAGCAUCGAGAGAUACCUUGAAGUCACAAACAUCAAGACAAUAAGAAUUAACCAACAAACUAUGUCGUAUGAAGAAUAAUUGGAGCAUUUGAAAAAAAAAACUCAUAAUUACAGGCAGAAACACUCCCACAAUGAACUCUAUAACCUUCAUAGAAAUAAAAUCCUUAUGUGUUGUUUUGUUGUCACCCCUCAGGAAAGAGUUGAACAAAUUAGUGUAAAAUUGGGGCUUACAACAUAGUAGAUCCCAUCGUCAAAUCCAAACGGGUGACUUUGUAACAAGGGAGGGUGUUAGAACAUUCAUCGUACGUAGCCAUCUUCAUUGACUUCUAUCAUAGACAAAACUUAGAUCCUGGAAUCAUGGUGGCUUACCCUGUACCCAGUGUGAUUGCAAGUGCAUUUAUAUCUAUGAUUGCUACAGCCGUAGUAUGUAAGUCUCGCACCAUUUCUAUAUUAUUGUUGUUAUUCUUUUUUAUCUUGUAUUCGCCUCUCAAGGUGGCCAUAAUUCUUGCUACGUUGAGAACACAGUAGUUGAUGAAGGAUGCAGUGAUGGAUGUUCUCAACAGUGCUGCAGUGAUCAACUUAAUUCUUGAUACGUUGAGAACAUCGCAGUUGUUCAUGGAGGAAGAUGCACCACCGACACGGUAGCAUCAGGACAACUGACAGCUGGCUGAGGUUGUGGGUGACGUGGAAGGUGACCUGUUCCUCCGCGCGAGGCUUUGCCAGCAGUGCUGAGCUGAAACCGCGUGUCCUGAAUUUUCCUUCAACGCCGCUGCAUCAUCUCUCUCCUCCCCCUCUUUCCCCCUCUCGUCCCUCGUCCGCGUUGCCACCCUGCUUACGUCCAUCCGUCCGUCCUUCCUCCCUUCCUUGUUACACCCUUCGCGCGCAGUCACCAGGUCUGCUACAUCUGCCGUUUCCUUCCUCUCAUGUCCGCGUUGUUUCUGCAAACUGACUUGGCGUAUUCGAAUAGAACGUGUGCUUCUUUUUGCUUUUUCGCCUGGAUAGGUUCACACUGCCGCACAGGCCUACCACUGUUUAAACAUCAACAGCAUUUCAUGUAGUGUAACUUCAAUGCAUAGAGUUUGGUGAGAUCAGUAGCGGCAGAGCGAUUGAGUAUUGAUUGACGUGAGAGUGUGGAUUCUUUUUUUUGAGUACGGAGAUUUGAAUUCUAUGUCCGUCGAUUGAGGAAGUUUACGGUAGUGGAGUUCGCUACAUAUUCUUUCAACCUGCCUGUCGACGGAGUUGCUUUUUGUGAGCGGCGUUGUGGGAGGUGGUGCGACCUCCGAGGAUUCAGCAUUUCAUGUUUUAAUUGCUGUAGCGAGACUUUAGGAAGAGGCUUACGAAUCGCUGGAAUGUUGAAGACAGGUUUCACCUAGCGAUGAAUCGACAUGUACGUAUUGAUCGUGUGAUUUGAGGUGAAGGUUUUGGCACGACACUCAUUGGGAUAUAGUUCGUGAGUUAUAGGGAAGCUGUUGCAUGUUUUGGAUUGAGAGCUCGCAAGGUUAAUGAGUCGUUAAGCCUAGUUGAGCUGUAGGGAAGAGUUUGGCUAACACGGACUUUGGGUUCUAGUGGCAGCAGACACUAUGACGGAUUCGAGAUAUUGAAGAGUACGACCGAGGAUAUAACUAAUUGGAGCUUGUACUUCACUGAGUGUUUUCUCCGUUUCCGAUUCUAGCCUACCAAUAAUUUUAGAGAAAUAAAAAUCAUGGUACAUAGACAAGGCAAUAGACCACUUCUUACCUGGCCAUUAAUAAUCCUCUCCCUUCUAUCGUUAGUUUCUGCCACAAGAGUUUCGCCAUUCGACUUUCGGGUGAGGCCUGAGCUGCACUCAGACCGUUCACCUGAACCUCAAGGGCCUCAAUCGUACGCUGCGUCAGAGUCGGCAUGGCCAUCAUUCAGAGAAGCACCGGUGUUUCGGAAUGGGAGGCGUUGCGCUUUUGUCAACAGAACAGGGAACGACACAUGCGAUCCAAACUCGGUGCACAUUGCGAUGACGCUUGAUGUAGAAUAUUUGCGAGGCUCAAUAGCUGCCAUCUUCUCUAUCUUGAAGCAUACAGCGUGCCCAGAGAAUGUUAUUUUUCACUUCUUCGCCGCGAAUCGAGAUGAGGAACUGCGAUUUCUCGUUUGUUCUAUUUUCCCUUUCUUGAGAUUCAAGGUGUAUCACUUCGACGAGGCGCUGGUGAACUCUAGAAUUUCGCCGUCCGUGCGACCGGCGUUGGAUCAUCCUUUGAAUUAUGCGCGGAGCUACAUGUCAGAUAUUCUAGAGCCCUGCAUACAGCGAGUUAUUUAUCUGGACUCGGAUCUCAUCGUGGUGGACGACAUUGUGAAGCUCUGGGGAACCAAGUUAGGACCUCAUGCCAUCGGCGCUCCAGAGUACUGCCAUACCAAUAUGACGAAAUAUUUCACCGACGCAUUCUGGGCAAACAGAACCUUAUCUCGCAUUUUCGAUGGGAAGAAGCCUUGCUAUUUUAAUACCGGAGUUAUGGUGAUGGACAUGACGAAGUGGAGAAUUGCGAAUUAUCGUGCGGAGAUCGAGCAUUGGAUGGGAGUUCAAAGCAGGACUAGGAUUUAUGAGUUAGGUUCACUUCCCCCGUUUUUGCUUGUUUUCGGAGGAUUGGUGGAGCCAAUUGACCACAGAUGGAAUCAACACGGCCUUGGUGGGGACAAUUUGGAGGGGAAGUGCAGAUCGCUUCAUCCCGGUCCCGUGAGUUUGUUGCAUUGGAGCGGUAAGGGGAAACCAUGGAUUCGAAUUGACCAGAAAAAGACAUGCCCUGUGGAUAGCCUUUGGGUGCCUUAUGACCUUCUCCUUUCCCCGUUGUCUUACCAAUAAGAGGACAUUUGAGGAAUGAAAAGAAGUGAAGGAAACGCUAACACCAAUUGCAGCGAAGGUUCUUAUGUUGUAGAUGUACAAUAUUAUAGAGUUGAUGAGGGCAUAGAGUAUUGACCGAUUCGUCUAUCUUAUACAAAAAAAAAUUGAUUCUAACACCAGUUUAACAAUUAAACCAGUGAACACUGCUCCGCACUAACUGUAGGGCAUCAUUCACGUAAGUGAGAUUGCUUCCUCGAGAACAUGAUCUGGUAGGGAUAGUGAGAACAUGUACAAACACUUGAGAAGAUUUUGUAUUUCGUGCGAAAGUUUUGUUCAGCAUAGCUAGAGGUGAUUCGUGCGGAGGGUCUGCAAAGUAUGAGCCGUUCGAUCGCUAGUAAUCGUGUUUGCAGAUUUCUUGUAGCUGGAAGCUUUGGAUUCUAGAUCACUAUUGCGCUGCUGAGCUUCUUAAGUAUUGUGGCACAAAUGUAAUAAGUUAUGAUGCGGCAACUGACAAAAACUUUGCCUACUCAUUGUCGCUCUGUUAUCUAUCCAGGGUUCAAUUCUCGAAUGUAUACAUUCAUAUGGUGAGUGUUCCAAAUUGCCCCGUAAUACCUGCUCGUUGCAACUCGGGCCUUAGAAUCAACCAGUGCAAUUCAGAAUUGUGAUAUUCUUGUGUUUGUUUUAUCUUCUCCUGUCCUGACCAGACUUUGGCAGCAGUGGGCGGACAGGAGAAGAUAAAAUAGUCGGACAAAUGCAAUGUGGUUGACACGAUGCCCAAGUUACUUCUCAUGCAUUGCUAUUAGUAUUAUUUCAAACAGUAACUACUACAGACUUUGCUUUGCAUGUUUCAUACACCACCGAUGCAAGAGUGUGCAUGAUAGAAAGAGGAUAAACUUGACAUAAAGAGAUCACAAUGACGAGAAAAAAAAAAAAAAAAAAAAAAAAAAAAAUUGUCAGUUUGAUGUUAAAUACAUAAAGAAAUCAACAAAACAAUAUGUGUGUAUAUAUCUAUAUACAUAACAAAUCUAAUAUUGAAGAAUCAUUUAUUUCAAGUUAGUGAACAAUUCAAAGUUACCAAAGAUAGUGGAAACUUAGGUCAAGAAGGUGGCAUAACUUCCCAUACAUUAGCAUCUUUAUCUUGUAUUUUUGAAUUGAACUAAUGUAUGAAGUAUUUUUAUUUAUAUUACAAGUAGAAAAUAUGUAAUUAGAUUAAUAUAUUCAAAUGAUUUAUGGUAUUUUUAAUCUAAAUGAAUAAGGUGUUAUUUAAAAAAGACGAUUGAUACUUCAAAGACUUUCAAAAAUAUUAAAUGAUUUUAUUUUAAAAUAAAUAAAAACUUCUAUUUUAUUUAAAGAAAAGAGAGUGUAUUCAAUUUUUAAUUGCUAAAGAAAGAAAAAAAAGAAAAAAAGAGGACGUUUCAAAGUGUGAGAGUGAUACAAAAAUAAAUAAAAAUAAAUACAUACAUAUGUUGCAUGCACAUUAAUAAAUACAUACAUAUCAAGCUUCCAAAUAGCAGUUAUGAAAUUAUGACUUACUCAAUUUUUGUAUUUACUGAACAAUACUUGAUUUGUCCAAUGCAACAAAUAACAAACCACUCACCAAUAAAAUCAAACAGGUACCAUCAAUCAGUUUUUUUCAUAUAAAUGUAUAUGCAUGAUGUAAAUUAUAAAGAGAACUCAAAUUGAUUGUGUUACCUAUUGAAUUCAUGGAUAGUAUAAUUAUACGAAUACGAUUCUAUACAUAGAACCUCUUGUACAUGAGUGAUGCACGGAUUUUAUGGAUGAUGAACAGCUAUUGUGGACGAAAUGACAUUUGGAUGAAAGAUAUUGGGAGCCGCAAACCCUAAAACGUUCAUCUUUCUCUCUCUCUCUCUCUCUCUCUGUCUCUCCCGGGAGCUCCCUAAACCGGAAGGAUUGAGACCCUAAACCCUGUCUCUCCCCACCCACUCUCUCGCGCUCGCCCUCUUUCUCGUUCCCCCACUCACUGCUUGCUACCUCCUUCGCAGCAGCAGCAGCAGCAACGCUCAAACUUACACAGACCAAGAGGGGACAGCCUGCGUGCCAUUCUUCCUCGCAACGCUCCUCCCACUCCCUCCUCAUUCCCCUCUCACCUCCCCGUUUUUCCCCUCCUCCUAGCACAUCCUCUCUAACCCUGUAUCACCCGUCAUGAGGCCGCCUCUGCGUGGAGGUCGCGGCGGGGGCGGAGGUUUCCGUGGUGGAGGCGCUCGAGGAGGAGGCCGCGGAGGCUUUGGAGGCCGCGGUGGCUUUGGAGGUCGUGGUGGUUACGAUGAAGGGCCUCCAGAAGAAGUCGUCGGUACAGUUGCUUUCCAUUUGCAGUUUGAUGUUUUCGAAUUCCUGCCUUACUCUGGCUUGGCCAUCACUAGGUUUGUAUAGGAAGUUUGUGUGUUCCACAAUGUAAUCGUCUGAAGCUGUUUUCACUUAGAGAUUAAGCCCUCGGUGGGAAGAUUAUUGCUGGUACUAUUGUGUUGUACUCUCCCUAUCCCCACAGACCUUGUCCUUCUUGACCGGGCAAUUCAGUUUCUUACAUUAUUGAUAAUGUGACGUUGGAGAGGCUGUAAGUUAUUGAGAAGCCCUGAAUUGGUUAGCGUCUUGGUUUUUAUAAUUGCAGAGGUUGCCUCAUACCUGCAUGCUUGCGAAGGAGAAGCAGUCACGAAGCUGACGAACGAGAAAAUUCCCUACUUCAAUGCUCCCAUUUACUUAGAAAAUAAGUCCCAAAUUGGGAAGGUGGAAGAGAUAUUUGGUCCUAUCAAUGAGGCUGUAAGUAUUGGCCUACAAUGGCUGACUGCAUGGACGUACGUCUGUAUAUUAAUGUGCAUGCAACAUUCUGUUCCGGAAAGUGAACUUUGCACUUGGAAUUUGUUUGAAUGCUAGCGAACUAUUUUUCUUUCAUUUCUCCGGGCAACCCAAGUGAAGUUGGUGUCUCAUGUGUUAUAUACUACUUGACACUUGGCCUAGCUGUUGCAGCAGGGUUUAAGAGUCCUCAAGUCAUUUUACCUUCGAAAUGAAGGUUUCUUGGCGUUUGAACGACAAAUCUACUGUGCAGGAAUCUGAGUUGGAUGUUCGUUGGCUCCCUGGUGUGCAGAUGUUUUCUGUGAAGAUGCAAGAGGGAAUUAUUGCAACUUCCUAUAAGCCCGGUGACAAGUUCUAUAUCGACCCUGCCAAAUUGCUCCCACUGACUCGGUUUUUACCUCAGCCUAAGUAAGUACUCCAAUCUUCAACCGUGGUUUGAUUUUUCUGUUUAUAUUUAUAUGCCGGUUCUGAUAUUUUGCCAUGUCUCGAACGACAGCAAUACUUCGUGUUUCGCCAAUACCUCAAUGUGUGCUCAUCUAUCAUUUUUAUGCAUUGCAGGGGAUCAACUCCUGGAGGGGGCAGGGGCGGUAGAGGUGGAGGUCGUGGAGGUACCGAAACAUUCCUUUUUCUUUUUACAUUUCUUCUUCUGUCUCUGUCCUUUUUUUUACUCUCCCAGCUGUUCCACGAACUUUUCUGUGAAAAUUACGGGAAGUUAGAUCUUGGUUGAAUGCAUGAAUUAAUUCUUCACUACUAGCUUGCCCAAAUUGAUCUGUGUCCUUUUAUUAAGUUUUCCAUGUCUUGCUUGUGAAAUUCCAGGGCGAGGUGGAGCAAGGGGUGGCGGUCGCGGAGGAUUUGGUGGACGUGGUGGAGGAGGAUUUCGGGGUGCUCGAGGUGGCGGUGGUGGUAGAGGUGGUUUUGGAGGUGGGGGCGGCGGUAGAGGUGGCGGUUUUGGAGGUCGGAGUGGUGGGGGCUUCAGAGGAAGAGGUCGUUCGUAGUUUUGACCAAGUGCAUAUCUCAAUCCGUCCUUUUAGAUCUCUGGUCAACGAGUCUAAGUAGGUUCUAUACGUUUGGGUUGGUGAUGGAUUUGCCACAUCUCUUAAUUAUUUCAUGCAAAUUGAGCACAAAUUUUGACCAUUCUGUAGAACCCACUACCAUAUAAUUGCAUUACCACUCACGCUAGGGAAUCUAAAUUCUAAUGAGUGUAUUCUGGUAUUCCGAGAUUUGAGCUCUUGCCAGAAAGCCGGUAGGGUUGACACUAAAAGGGUGGACCUGUGAGUUCAUAUCGAGCACUUUUCGCAAGUUCACGGUGUGCAUACAGAUCUGGUUGGCCGCAUACUCCUCAGAUCGUAAUUCGAACGGCCAUCUCUGCGUAUGUCAAUUAUGGCAUCUUCCGCAAGGAGGGCUAAUAUCACUCUAUUUUACGCAGAUUUUGAAAUGUCAUUGCUGUUUUGUUACUGAUUCACGCAAAGUCUAAUGGCUAUAAUGUCGUAUUUUAUGUAUGCCUCUACAUUAUAUAACCCUUUGCCUCAAUUCUUGGUUCUGAAUCGGAAAAACGUGUUAAAAGAUUAAUUUGUGAGUAAAUGGAACGCAAAUUUCGUAACUUGCUUCUCAUUUAGUUGGCCAUCGUGGGAAGUGGCAACACAUAGUGUAAGAUGGAGAAAGUUACCCCGAACCCCUAGCAGAGGUGGUCAGAUAGCCAGGUCUACUAGUACAAAUUCAUGUGAGGUUUUUUUCAGUCAGUGCUGCAGAACCACCGCUGACGUACAAAUUCAUGUGACUGAUUUUUUCAGUCAGUGCUCGCUUAUCUUUUCUUAUUCUUGGCUUUCUUGCCUUUGCACGCUAUGACUUUAUGUAAAUACCUUAUGGUGUACAAUUUCAAUCGACGUCCUUUUCCACACUGAAUAAGUACUUGAAGUUUGGUUCCACUGCAAAUGUGUCAUCGUUUAUGAUGUCAAUUUGCAACUAACGAUGCAUGUAUAUGUACCUAAAUCUGCAUCAUAGUAAUUCCACUUAUCAAGCCGGUAACCAAGAUUCGAUAAAAGGUAUUGAUUUAGCAUGCGCCGAUGAUUGCUCCUCAUUAAGUUUUCGCGUAUUGCUGAUAUUUAGCAAAUGUGCACAAUCGACGAGUAAUAUUUUUUAAUAUAAAUUUAAAAGCUAACACACGAAUAUCUAACGUGAUUCUCAUCUUGCGCUGCUCAUUACUCUCCAAUCGACGAGUAAUAUUUUUUAAUAUAAAUUUAAAAGCUAACACACGAAUAUCUAACGUGAUUGUCAUCUUGCGCUGCUCAUUACUCUCUUCGCCAACAUUUCAGAAGUACCUCUAACCCCCUUCUCAGAACAUUCUUCUUCAACGAGUCAUACAACCCUGAACAAAAACACGAGAACAUAAAAGAAUAAGAAGUUCAGAAAGAAAGAGAGAAAUAAACGAAUAAGCAGGGGUUUCAACUGUGCAAUCCGCAUCUUCAUCAAUUGCGGGAAUCAAUGCUUAAUGGAUAAUAUCUUCUCAGUGUUUUUUCUUUUGAAAACUCUAACGCACAAGACGAGUUAGAAUAAUGAUAUACACGGAGUUUCUUGUGAGGUCGGGUUGUCAUGAGACGGGAGGGGUAUUUUCAUGCGGGGCAAUGAGAGGGGAUAGAACGAAGUGCCAAACAGCAUGAGUUUGUAGGGAACUGGAAUGCGUUUCUCAAAACACGGCGUCAGGGAAAGUCCAAAUUAAACCUAAACGGAAGGCGAGUUUCCCGCGUCUGACGUUAGACUCAGGGUUUACAUGCGAGAUCCAAGCACCAUUACAAAUUGGAUGGAUAUCAUCUACUAUGAGCACCUUUUAUAAUUCGUACAUCCACCUUUGCUUAACCACGGCCGCCGUGGACUGAAGAAGUCGGAGACUUGUGUCCACAGCCUCUUCAUUGCUCGUUUGUGAGAUCCCUGGCCCCCAGAUUCCAUUGCGCACUGGCUGAUUUAUUUACGCCAGUCCGCUUCCAUUUCUUUCUGCACAACAUACGUUUCUAAUUUCGGAAUAGGGGUUUGGGAGUUUCCUCACGGCGCGAAUUAGAUCUGGACAUCAAUAUUUUAUUAUGAGGGUUUGGCUGGGUUCCAGCCUUGCUCUGGUGCGUCCUUUGGGGAUGGAAUAGGUGGCAACGUGCACUCAAGUAUCCAUUGGAGCGGGUGCGUGUGAGUAAAGAAGAAGAAAGCCAAGGAGCGGGCGACGGAUUCGAAAGAGAUUGUGAAAGCAGGUUACGGAUCCAGCCAUGAGGAUGGAGAGGUUGCUGGCCGGAGACAUGGCCAUGGCCUCCGGAGAUGUGGCAGCGAACCUAGUUAAUGCUCAGUACGAUGGAUUCACAAACUUCCCUAUUGUGGCUGCGUUCCUUUCAUUUUUCGUGGCGCAAUCGCUUAAAGUGUUGACUACCUGGUAUUUUCACUUGCGCCACUAUUUUUUCGUAUCUCCACUCGUCCUGUUGCUCUCUCAUUUCAGUCUUAUCUUUGCGUUUGUGACACUAACGUACUUCCUUGGGACUUUCAACAUUUGACCUUCCCUAUUCCUGAUCGUUGUUGUUUUUUUGAUAUACUAAGCUAGGGCUUUCUUAUAUUUACUCCUACCUCCCCUUUCAGUUCAUAUCUAGCGUCCAUCGUUGGCUGAUCGGUUUGGUCUCUGCUUUAAUCAUGCACUAUUCGGUAUUCUCGAAGAAUGAUUCGUGUUUGAACCGGACUUGGUUUGAAUGUUGUAUAUGGAGCGAAACUUGAAGCUUUUCGCUUAGUCAAUUCUUUUCGAAAAUUUAAAUUUAGGUUUUUUUUUUUUUUUUUUUUUUUUUUAAUAAUUGUAAAGUCUAGCCAUUAGGGUGUGAAAGCGAUUAUGCUUUCUAAUGAAAUGCUUUUUUGUUGAAUGUAAGCCGAAACGAUUUUGCUGUUGCUAACUUGAGUAUUAGGGAGCAGUUUGUUAAGCUUUUCUAUCAGCGUGUGCAUUUCAAAGGUAGUUUUUCAUAAAGCUUUGCAUGGAAUGCCCUAAGUUGGCCGUACUUUUUUUCAAAAAUGUUGUAUGUAUUUCACGUCUGGAUUUGCGGAUACUCUCUGGGAAUUGUGGUAGUAUCCUUACCGAGGAUGAAAGAUGUUUCGGAAUGUGAUUUGGGAGUUCAUUGUGAAAUAGUAGUGCUUGUUUUGCUAUAGCAUUUAUAAUAUUAUUGCUCAAUUUUUCAAGCAUCCAAAGAUUUCUGGUUAGCGUUUGUCAUGUCUUUGCACCAAGGGCUCUUUUUAUUUACAAAUCUACCUUAGGGUAGGUGAGCAGGUACAAGGAGAACAGGUGGGAUGUGAAACGCUUGUAUGGUUCAGGCGGUAUGCCUUCUUCUCACUCUGCAACGGUGACAGGGCUCGCGUGUGCUAUCGGCCUUCGUGAAGGUCUUGGUGGACCUCUCUUUGCAAUCGCCUUUGUGCUGGCCUGCAUUGUAUGUGCUCUAAACUUUGGCUGGGUGCCACCGUAUGACAAACUUAUUAAUCUUGAACCAUUUUGUAUGUGACAUUCAAAUGUAAUUGAAUCCGAUUUUAUUAGUACCUGGUUUUGUCCAAAUAUCAUGUUUAAUCAGCACCCACUUAUUGUGUCGUUUCCUUCUUAAUAAGCAAUCUCGAAUAGAUUUUGUAAUUACACUGCGAGCUCAUUUUGCAUGUCUGUUUUGUAUACACAAAUCAUUCAACCUGUUGUGUGUAAGCAACGAGUUAAUAUGAAGGUUGUGAACUGAGGAUAAUUGCUCGUUCUUAAUUUUUUCUUAUCCUUUGCUCGCUUCAGGUUAUGUAUGAUGCGUCAGGUGUUAGACUUCAAGCUGGUCGUCAGGCCGAGGUUUGCAGUUGCUUUUCUUUUCCUUCUCUGCACAAUGAUGACGGAACUAACUUCUUUUGUUUUUGUCUAUAUCAAUGUCUUGCGUAGCUGUCUCAUUUGAACAAUUGAUCUGACUUUCAUUGAUUUGAUCAUAAAUGGUACAUGCUUAGCAGAUAGCGAAAUCAGAAUCACUAGUGUUUAGAUGCGUAGAUACAUUCUAUGUCAGGUUCAUACUUACUUGGCUUUGAAGCUUGGUCUAUUUGCAGGUGUUGAAUCAAAUAGUGUUCGAGCUUCCGCCAGAGCAUCCUCUAUCGGAUUCUAGGCCGUUAAAAGAAUUUCUUGGACAUACUCCUCCGCAGGUGUGACUUGCUUUAUUCAUAUGUUUGCAUUCACACAGUUCUUCUUUUUCAAAUUGGGAAUUUCCGUGUGGUCUCUCUGUACCUCUUCUUUUCUUUUCUUUUUUUCUUUAUAUCUGCUAAUUGCGUUUGCUAGAAUCAUUUUAAGCAACACUUGAGUUCUUGCUCUUGCUCUCGCUUGAUGCGUUGAUUCCACCUAUUCUUGUUCUAAUCUCUUAUCCUUGAGCUGCAGUUAUUUGAUGAAGAUGCUCUUUAGCAAGCAGCUUCAGGCAUGCUAGUGUAACUGUGAUGUGGUUUUGAUUCCCAGGUAGCUGCAGGUGCCAUGCUGGGGUGCUUGAUAGCCUACACACUACACCUGCUUUCACUAGUAGGACCCUCAACCUAGUUCUUUCUGUAGUUAGCCGCAGAAAAAUCGAACAUUAUCUUCGCUAAUGAAAGCAAACUUGGGUUUGUAUGUGGUAUUAGUAACUCACCAUUUUUUAGAGUUAGCUUGCUUUCCAGUGGGAAGCGUCAGCCAAGUAUUGUCAUAUAGUCUACAAUUAGCUGAUGACUCGGGUUAUAUUCCGUUAGUGCUUUUGAGUGCUUGUGGAUUAGCAUGUGUCAUGUUCUGAACACUGUAAGAAUUAAGAUAAUUUAAUUUACAAACAGUGUUGGGCUGUUGCUUGAUGGCUUCCUGGCUUUGGUCAGGUAUGGUCAAA
rnacentral:lncRNA from 1 species